GGGGUGGGGAUUGACGGGUAGAAUGGUAGAUCGCUGUGAUUUAUAGACGGAGUGGAAACGGAUGUAGUUGGAUAUUUGGAUUAUCUUCAUGGGGACGAUCCAGUAUCUCUGGUGGGAGUUGCGAUCAUUCGAAACUUUCUCUUUAUCUUGCGUCAAGAGCCAUGAUUGGAUACAGAGAGAAGAAUGAUACUAUGAUUCCAUUGAGAGCAGAAGAUUGCGGAGUAGACUUACAUGGAUAGUUCUAACUCAUUCUAAUUGAUUAAUAAAUAAAUAUUUUUUAUUUAAAUUUUCUUUAGUUUGUUGUAUGAUUGAAAAGAAGUAAUUCACCAACC
rnacentral:lncRNA from 1 species